rnacentral:misc_RNA from 1 species
GUUUUCAGUUGUACAUUAUGCACAAAUAGACAUUCCGUUACAGUUCAGAGUGUGUAAAGGUACUCGAGCGCCAGGCCGGUGAGGGCCACGCAAAGCGGCAACUCAGAGUCAUAGAUGCACAGGUGUGGGUGGAUUUGCGACUCUGGUCGGACGUGCACAGUGUGGAUCUCUCCACCAGCACAGAACAAAACCAAAGCCGACUUUUGAAGUUUCAUUAAUGAUCCUUCCGCAGGUUCACCUACGGAAA